rnacentral:rRNA from 1 species
CCUGGCCUUGACAUACUAAGAACUUCCAGAGAUGGAUUGGUGCCUUCGGGAACUUAGAUACAGGUGCUGCAUGGCUGUCCGUCAGCUCGUGUCGUGAGAUGUUGGGUUAAGUCCCGCAACGAGCGCAACCCUUUUCCUUAUUUGCCAGCGGGUUAAGCCGGGAACUUUAAGGAUACUGCCAGUGACAAACUGGAGGAAGGCGGGGACGACGUCAAGUCAUCAUGGCCCUUACGGCCAGGGCUACACACGUGCUACAAUGGUCGGUACAAAGGGUUGCUACCUCGCGAGAGGAUGCUAAUCUCAAAAAGCCGAUCGUAGUCCGGAUCGCAGUCUGCAACUCGACUGCGUGAAGUCGGAAUCGCUAGUAAUCGCGGAUCAGAAUGCCGCGGUGAAUACGUUCCCGGGCCUUGUACACACCGCCCGUCACACCAUGGGAGUUUGUUGCACCAGAAGUAGGUAGUCUAACCGCAAGGAGGACGCUUACCACGGUGUGGCCGAUGACUGGGGGUGAAGUCGUAACAAGGUAAGCGUAGAUGA